GUAGGGAAUAUUGGGCAAUGGUCGGAAGACUGACCCAGCCAUGCCGCGUGCAGGAAGACGGCCCUCUGGGUUGUAAACUGCUUUUAUCUGGGAAGAAAAAGGCCAUGCGUGGCAAAUUGCCGGUACCAGAUGAAUAAGCCCCGGCUAACUCCGUGCCAGCAGCCGCGGUAAUACGGAGGGUGCGAGCGUUGUCCGGAUUUAUUGGGUUUAAAGGGUGCGUAGGCGGCUGAUUAAGUCAGCGUUGAAAGACUUCGGCUUAACCGGAGCAGUGCCGUUGAUACUGGUUGGCUUGAGUGUCGGAGGGGUACAUGGAAUGGAUGGUGUAGCGGUGAAAUGCAUAGAUACCAUCAGGAACACCGAUAGCGAAGGCAUUGUACUGGCCGACAACUGACGCUGAUGCACGAAAGUGUGGGGAUCGAACAGGAUUAGAAACCCUUGUAGUCC
rnacentral:rRNA from 1 species